CCCUGGCGACGAGAGGCGGACGGGUGAGGAACGCUUGGGAAUCUGCCCAUCAGCGGGGGACAACCCGGGGAAACCCGGGCUAAUACCGCAUACGCUCUACGGAGGAAAGCCGGGGACCGCAAGGCCUGGCACUGAUGGAUGAGCCCAAGUCGGAUUAGCUAGUUGGCGGGGUAACGGCCCACCAAGGCGACGAUCCGUAGCUGGUCUGAGAGGACGAUCAGCCACACUGGGACUGAGACACGGCCCAG
rnacentral:rRNA from 1 species